rnacentral:ncRNA from 7 species
UUCCGUAGGUGAACCUGCGGAAGG